rnacentral:rRNA from 1 species
AGAGUUUGAUCAUGGCUCAGGACGAACGCUGGCGGCGUGCUUAACACAUGCAAGUCGAACGGUGACUCUCGGAGCUUGCUCCGGGAUGAUCAGUGGCGAACGGGUGAGUAACACGUGAGUAACCUGCCCCAGACUCUGGAAUAACCCCGGGAAACCGGAGCUAAUACUGGAUACGAGACAGAGAGGCAUCUCUACUGUCUGGAAAGUUUUUCGGUCUGGGAUGGACUCGCGGCCUAUCAGCUAGUUGGUGAGGUAGAGGCUCACCAAGGCGACGACGGGUAGCCGGCCUGAGAGGGCGACCGGCCACACUGGGACUGAGACACGGCCCAGACUCCUACGGGAGGCAGCAGUGGGGAAUAUUGCACAAUGGGCGAAAGCCUGAUGCAGCGACGCCGCGUGAGGGAUGACGGCCUUCGGGUUGUAAACCUCUUUCAGCAGGGAAGAAGCGAAAGUGACGGUACCUGCAGAAGAAGCACCGGCUAACUUCGUGCCAGCAGCCGCGGUAAUAC